GGCAUGCUUAACACAUGCAAGUCGAACGGAAACGCGAAGAGCUUGCUCUUUGGCGUCGAGUGGCGGACGGGUGAGUAACGCGUGGGAAUCUACCCAGUAGUGGGGGAUAGCCAGGAGAAAUCCUGAUUAAUACCGCAUACGAUCUACGGAUGAAAGGUGGCCACUCCUUGGAAGCUAUCGCUAUUGGAUGAGCCCGCGUUAGAUUAGCUAGUUGGUGGGGUAAGAGCCUACCAAGGCAACGAUCUAUAGCUGGUCUGAGAGGACGACCAGCCACAUCGGGACUGAGACACGGCCCGGACUCCUACGGGAGGCAGCAGUGGGGAAUAUUGGACAAUUGGGGCAAGCCUGAUCCGGCAAUGCCGCGUGUGUGAAGAAGGCCUGAGGGUUGUAAAGCACUUUCAAUUGUGAAGAAGUGGAUAAGAUUAAUACUCUUGUCAAUUGACGUUAACUUUAGAAGAAGCACCGGCUAACUCUGUGCCAGCAGCCGCGGUAAUACAGAGGGUGCAAGCGUUAAUCGGAAUUACUGGGCGUAAAGCGCGCGUAGGCGGCUAUUUAAGUCAGAUGUGAAAUCCCCGGGCUCAACCUGGGAACUGCAUCUGAUACUGUUUAGCUAGAGUUUGGGAGAGGGAAGUAGAAUUUCAGGUGUAGCGGUGAAAUGCAUAGAGAUCUGAAGGAAUACCAGUGGCGAAGGCGACUUCCUGGCCUAAAACUGACGCUGAGGUGCGAAAGCGUGGGUAGCAAACGGGAUUAGAUACCCCGGUAGUCCACGCCGUAAACGAUGUCAACUAGUCGUUGGUUCCCUUGAGGGAUCGGUGACGCAGCUAACGCAUUAAGUUGACCGCCUGGGGAGUACGGUCGCAAGACUAAAACUCAAAGGAAU
rnacentral:rRNA from 1 species